AUUUAAAUAGCUUAUAUGGAAAAGUAUAAUAUUGAAGAUAUUAAGAAAAUUGUAAAAUUUUUAAAUA
rnacentral:tRNA from 1 species